ensembl:lncRNA
CCACGAUGAUCAAUUAUUAAACUCAGUUUAAAGUUGUUUUUGUAUAAACUGCUAAUGCAAUUCCGUUUUUUUAUUUAUUCCAUUAACAUUCAUGCAGUAAUAUCAACAAAUUAAGAAAUUAAAACAAAUUAUGUGCCCUCAAAGAAAUCGCAUUCCGCAAAUUUUCGAUACAUUUAAAACAAUGUCUGACUGAAAUUAAAACAUAAUCAUGCUAUGAUAAUGGCACACGCUUAUUAAUUAAAAUGUGCAACUAUGUGGUUUUUUUUCGAGCUACUUAACAGUUUCUAUAAACAAUCCUGCCUAUAAUAAAUUGUUGCUCACGCCAGACACUUAAGACGUGCACAAAACAAAGGAUUUACAGAGAGAGAGAGAAAAAAAUCGUCACGGUGUUUGACAAAAAGCAUUCCAUUUGCAUUAUCUGUGCAUAUUAGUAAAGUAACAAACCACAAGCCAGGACGUCACUAAGUGGUAUUUAAGAGGCAGCGUCACAGGUGAAUGGAGAGAAGUGGAAGAACUGAAGCAUAGAAUAACUAUCGGACCACUGAGACAGCAGCGGAUUACCGAUCAACGUGUUCAGCAUAAUAUAUCUGCUAAAGGUCUGAUUCUUAUUAUAACCACUGCACUCUUUCCAGAAUGGAGGGAAAAGCUUUUAUUAUAAUGUGCAUUCUCAUUGCAAAAGUCCAAUCCCAAAGUACAACAAUCUCCGUAACAGAUUCAACAUCAUCACUAUCAUCUGUUAGUACAACCAACACCUCCGCAACAUCCACAGCUACAACUUCUUCAACAACCACUACAGCUCCUGCUGAAACAUUCACCACUACUGCAGGAGUUACCACAACAGCACCACAAACUACUGUUACAACAACUGAAUCCUCCACAACAGCCACAACAACAAAUGCACCCUCAACUAUAGUUUGUUCAAAUCCAUGCACAAAACCAACAACUUUAACCCCAACAGGUUCUACCUCUGUCACAACAACUCUUACUGAGUCAUCAACCAUUAGUGCACCAGUCACAUCUGCUCAGUCUACAGCCUCUACAGCAUCUACAGAGCCUACAGCUUCUACAGUGUCAUCCACAUCUGCUCAGUCUGCAGCAUCUACAGCUUCUACAGCAUCAACAGAUUCUACAAUAUCUACAGCAUCUACAGAGCCUACAGCUUCUACAGUGUCAUCCACAUCUGGUCAGUCUACAGCACCUACAGCAUCUACAGAAUCUACAGCUUCUACAAUAUCUACAGCAUCUUCAGAGUCUACAGCUUCUACAGUAUCUACAGCUUCCACAGUCUCAUCCACAUCUUCUCAGUCUACAGCAUCUACAGAUUCUACAGCCUCUACAGCAUCUACAGAGACUACAGCUCCUACAGUAUCUACAGCUUCUACAGUGCCAUCCACAUCUGCUCAGUCUACAGCAUCUACAGAUUCUACAGCAUCAACAGAUUCUACAAUAUCUACAGCAUCUACCGAGUCUACAGCUCCUACAGUAUCUACAGCUUCUACAGCGUCAUCCACAUCUGCUCAGUCUACAGCAUCUACAGCAUCUACAGAGUCUACAGCUCCUACACUAUCUACCGAUUCUACAGUGUCAUCCACUUCUGCUCAGUCUACAGCCUCUACAGCAUCUACAGCGCCUACAGCUCCUACAGUAUCUACAGCUUCUACAGUGUCAUCCACUUCUGCUCAGUCUACAGCAUCUACAGAUUCUACAGUAUCUACAGCUUCUACAAUAUCUACAGCAUCUACAGAGCCUACAGCUCCUACAGUAUCUACAGCUUCUACAGUGUCAUCCACAUCUGCUCAUACUACAGCAUCUACAGAGACCACAGCAUCUACAACAUCUACAACAUCUACAACUUCCACAGCAACUACUGCAAAAAUAGUACCUGAGGUGCUAACAGUUCUGGAGUUUCGCUCUAAUGACACAUUUAUUAUUGCACUCAGCGAUAACAACAGUGAGGAGUUCAAGAGUAGGGCUAAGCUUGUCAAAGAUCAGAUUGAGCCCAUCUACAAAAUCAAGUAUGAUAACUUCCUCAGAGUGAUUGUCCUAGGAUUCAGUGAAGGGUCAAUCAUCACAUCAACACGACUAGCUUUCAGCUUAAAUCAAGCUAUCCCAUCUGUUGGAGAGAUUUCGAACACCCUCUUGACAGCAGUGGGAAACGGAGGUGUCAAUCUAUUGAACAUAAUUCCUCAAUCAAUUUCAGUCAAUGGUUCAGCUUCAGCUACCACUGUCACUCCUGCAGCAACCACAGCAACUACAGCUUCAGGUGGAUUAAAGAUUGAAUCCAGUCUGCUCCAAGCAACAUGCCUCGUCAUUAUGUCUAAAAUAUUAAAGCUUUUCCUAUAGAUCCCUUAAACAUAUAUCAAUCAAAUAUGAGAGUUCAGUAAUAAAUGCUAUAACAAAUAAUUAAAUGACA